CCUAGCCAGGACAGACCUCAGGAACUCCACUGACAUGGUAAAGAGAACACAGAGCUGGGGCCAAAACCAGUAGCAGCAAGGCCUCGGGCCUGGUGAACACUCUGACCUUUGUCUAAAUCAGCCUUGGAGCAAGAACGUAAGAAGGGGGAAGACUCAGGCAUCGCUUCAGCUGGAGAACCAUGGAGGAUUUAUCCUUGGGCCCAGACGUAACCAAGGAAACCGUUAAGACAGAGACGUGAUUUCAGACCCUUUCACUGAAAGAGUGGGCUGGCAUUUUGCCCCUUUGCCAACUGUGUUCCAGUGAAUACACAGUGCCUACCUCCGGGCCCCACCAGAAGGGAGCGAAAUGGGUGAGACGGGCAUUCUCUUCUCUCUGACCGGUCUCCUCGACGGAUAAAAAUGAGACCAUGGUGAGAGUGGGCCUGCCUGCAGUGGUUAGAACAGCUUCUCUAGGAGCAACGACAGAGGGCAGACUUCAUCACCUGCGUUCCUGCAGUCUUCUCGGGCCCCCACUGGGGCUGUCC
rnacentral:lncRNA from 1 species